CAGAUAAGUUCCUUUACUCUAUUGAAGUGGAUUUCUUCAUUAUUAGUCAUUUUUCAUCCUUAUACAAGCUACCCAUAUGGGUGAAAAAUAUUGGAAGGUCCUGAAAAUCCCAAAUCUAAGAAUUAAAACUCUAUCUCUCUAUUUAUGUUGCUCCCUUUCUCAGCUAGAUCAGAUUUUUCUCAAAAUACCUCAAAUCACAAGAAUUAACUCUCAGUUUCUCAAUUCUUAAUUAAUGGAACAACUUUGCUGCUCUGUUUCUUUGCUUCCAGUUAGUGACCCAAAAGCUCAAAUCAGGACUACAAAGAAUUUCGCAUAGAAGAGUCAUCCAGAGCUUAUUUGGUGUUGUUAUUGUGGAUUCGAUCUUGACAGAACUCUCUGUUAUUUCUUUUUUUGGGUAAGUUCAAGUUUCUUCUUGAAGACCUUUCUGGUGUUAUUGUGAUUGCAUGUCGAUAGUCCAUUAUUUUUAUUUUUUGUUCGUAUGUGGUUAUACUAUUGAAGUUAACUGUGUAUUAAAGUAUAGACAUUCAUUUGGGUUGCCAACAGGAACAAGCCUGUCCAUCAUAAAAAAAAAAGUACCUUUUUCAUCGACAAAAUUGGGAAUUUGGUAGUUAAAAAAAUACAUGGAUAUUUACUCUGGUCAUCUAAUGUUACUGUCGAAACCAGAAUAUCUACAACUUGUAUCCUUGACAAUGACAAUCUUGUCAUCCGUAACAAUGAUAGGGAAGCCGUAAGGUUAAAUUUUGCCUUGUGUGAGAGCUUCUUGCAUCUAACAGAUACCUUUUUGCCUAGAAUGAGAGAUUUCACGAAAAGACAAGUGAAAGAGCGUA